rnacentral:lncRNA from 1 species
AGGCAGUGCGGACCGUAAAGAAAGCAUACGAGAAGGUAGAGCCAUUCGACCCAAUGGAACUUCCCUUCACCUUCAUUUCUCUCUUUCUUUUCCUAGCCUUUGUUUUAAGUCUCAUCAAGGUAUUGAAGAGAUUAAAAACAACCCAGAAACUACCACCAUCUCCAUGGAAGCUACCUUUGAUUGGACAUAUGCAUCAUCUGGUAGGUUCCCCAUCGCAUCAAGGUCUCAGAGACUUAGCUCGGAAGCAUGGAGCUUUGAUGCACCUUCAGAUGGGUGAAAUUCCUUCAAUUGUUGUGUCGUCUCCACGUUUAGCCGAGGAGAUUAUGAAAACACACGAUCUUUCCUUUGCGGAUCGGGCAGAGUUUCUUUCAGGUAAGAUCGUAGGCUAUAACUGUACUGAUAUUGCUAGCUGCCAAUAUGGUGAUUACUGGAGACAAAUGCGUAAGAUAUGCACCCUGGAACUUCUAAGUGUUAAGCGUGUCCGAUCAUAUGGCUCCAUCCGGCAAGAAGAGGCUUCUGUUCUUGUUGCAUCGAUUAAGGCUCUGGCUAGUGCUGGAGAGCUAAUCAAUGUUACGCAAAAACUAACCUCAUAUACAAGUUCUACUGUUUGCAGAGCAGCAUUUGGGAGAGUAAGCAAAGAUAAUUACUUGGCAUUUUUGCCACUAGUCAGGGAAAUAAAUAGCCUUUCUGGUUCUUUCAACAUUUCUGAUCAGUUUCCAUCCCUCAAGAUUCUUCAUCCACUCAUGUCACUGAAGACUAAGCUGUUGGAUGUCCACCACAAGGCAGACAGAGUAUUGGACCAUGUAAUUGAGAAGCAUAUAGCAAAGACAGAACCAGCCAUAGGUGAAACUGACCAAGAAGAUCUAGUUGAUGUUCUUCUAAGAGUUAAAGGAGGUGGUAACCUUCAGUUCCCAAUUACCAACGAUAACAUCAAAGCUGUUAUCAUGGUAAGAUUCUUUCCCUUCUUCACUUCUGGUACUCUUUCAGGUUCAUUUAUUUUAUCAAACACGCCGACUUUAAAAAUAAAGAACCUAGUGUUUAGACUCUAAUGAUAGUGAAAGCGUGGAGGAAGUAAAUCAACGCCCUUCGAGUUCUAAGUUUUAGCUUCAUGAUUAACUUGCCUGUUUUGUUUGUAACAAAGAGUUUUGGCAUUGAUGCAGGAUAUUUUUCUAGGGGGAACUGAAACUUCAUCUACAACAGUGGAAUGGACGAUGUCCGAGCUGAUGAGAAAUCCAAGAGCGAUGGUCAAGGCACAAAGGGAAGUACGGAAAGCCUUCGUAGGAAAGAAAACAAUUGAAGAAACUGAUAUUCAAGAAUUGAAGUACCUAAAGUCAGUGAUCAAAGAAACUUUGAGGCUACACCCUCCUGUCCCUCUAUUGGUUCCCAGAGAAUGCAGGCAAGAAACUGAGAUUGAUGGGUAUAUCAUUCCCAUCAAGACAAGAGUUAUAGUUAAUGCCUGGGCAAUCGGAAGAGACCCCGAGUAUUGGGAUGAUCCAGAAAGUUUCAAACCAGAGAGAUUCGAGGACAGUUCCGUUGAUUUCAGUGGAUGUCACUUUCAAUAUGUUCCAUUUGGUGCUGGAAGGAGGAUUUGCCCAGGAAUUUCAUUUGGUUUAGCAAAUGUUGAGCUUCCUUUAGCUCUUCUGCUCUACCAUUUCGACUGGAAACUCCCAAAUGGUCUCAAACCCAAUGAUUUAGACAUGACAGAGACUAUGGGAGUAACUGCGCCAAGAAAAGACAAUCUUCGCUUGCUUGCCAGUGUGUAUGAUGCAUCACUUGACGUUAGCGCAGAAACAUAGGGCAUGAGUACUUUCGGUGAAUAUGUGAGAAGUGGCUUCCAAGUCAUUUGCUAUAUUCACUCUGCUUUAUGUUAAUUUCCUUUAAGAUAUAAUAAUGAUAUUUGCUUAAUAACACCUUGCACUAGUGUUUUAAUACCAUAAAAAAAGAAGCGUUUGUUAUGCUUUUACAGAAUUUCUAAUGUAGAAUAGCAGUAGCAUGACAGACGCUUGUGAGUCAAACUCACAGAUGCUAUUCUUCCGAUUUUUUCAUAUUUCCAAAUAAGCGCCUAAAUUAACUUAAUUAAAGAACCAGCCCAAUGCAUCCCCAAACUCUAACCGCCGUAUAGCUGCACGUCUUUCAAUUAAAAAAUCUGAUGUUUCACUUGACGCUUUAAUAUGAUGGAUCUAAUUUCGGUUUUACAAAUUCGAUUGGAUAGCUUUGGAAAUGUUGUUUCUAGCAUGAAUUGUUUUUUUUUUUAUUUUUAAAACACUUCAAAAAGUCUUGGAUUUCAUCGUAAUUACUUUUGGUGAAAUAUUUUGGAAAAAUCGUUUAAAAUGUCCCUCACAUUUUACAAGGUCAUUUUUUUCGUCCAUUACUUUUAAAAGUAUAAUUUUACGUCCCUUACAAAUUCAAAUUAACCAAAUUUGGUCCCUACCUAGGUUUCUGAUUCAUUUUUGGCUGGAAUCUACCACGUGACUUGCAUGUGAUCAUUUUUUAAGGGCAAAAUUGUCAAAUUAAAUUUUUACAUAAUCUGAUUCAUAGUCCCUCACAUUUCACAAAAUGAAUUUUUUCGUCCCUAACAUUUUACAAAAUGAAUUGUUUCGCUCCUCACAUUUCAAAAAAUGAAUUUUUCCAUCCCUCACAUUUUUCAAAAUGAAUUUUUUUAUCCCUCAUUGAUCAUGUGUAUGAAUAGUUUUUUUUUUCUAUAAACCCACGUAUAUGUCUAUUUGAUUUUACCUGAACAAUACGAAUAACAUGUAAUUUACCUCUAUUGAAUUUCAUCUAAACAUGUUAAUCGUAGUUAUACACAUGCUAUUCAAUAGAUAUAUAUAGGGGUUUAAAACUAAUAAUUUUGUUUGAAACCCAUGUAUAUAUUUAUAUGAUUUCACCAUUUGAACAUAUUCAAUAUUUGUGGCAUUUCUCUUUUGAUAAUAAUUUAUUUAUUGAAUCAUAUAAUAAGGUCAUCUAAUUAAUGGGUCCUAACUCGAAUUCUAUAAUUAUGCUAACAAAUUUUAGUUUAACUAUGAAAUUUCUACUCGACACUUUUAAGAUCAACAGUUGAAUUAUUUGCCUUGUGAUUGUCUUAAAAUUUGAAAAUGCCAAUCACUUAUUUUUUUUUGUCAUACUUUUUUUUUGUUUAUUUUUUCUGUCCAAAUUUAAUUCGAUCUAAACGCUUGAUAAUAUUUAGGAUUAAAUGUCUUCUUUAUUUUCAAAUUUCGAGUAAAAGAAAAUGAAUAUAAGUGAAAAACUAACAAUUUUUUUAAACCCAUGUAUAUAUCUAUUUGAUUUCACUUGAGCAGUACAAAUAGUAUGUAAUAUAUCUCUAUUUGAUUUCACAUGUUAUUCGUACUGUUCAAUUGAAAUCAAAUAGAUACAUACAUGGAUUUUAAAAAAAAAAUUGUUCACACACAUGAUCAAAAAAAGAUGAAAAAAUUCAUUUUGAAAAAUGUGAAGGAUGAAAAAAUUCAUUUUGUGAAAUGUAAAGGAUUAUGAAUCGAAUUAUAUAAAAUUUGAUUUGAUAAUUUUGCCCUUAAAAUAUGAUCACGUGCAAGGCACGUGGUGAAUUCCGACCAAAAACUAGUCAGAAGCCUAAGUAGAGACCAAAUUUGAUCAAUGUGAAUUUGUAAGGGAUAUAAAAUUAUAUUUUUAAAAGUGAAGAAUAAAAAAAAUUAUUUUAUAAAAUGUGAGGGACGUUUUGAACGAUUUUUCCAAAUAUUUUGUAUAUAAAGUGGUGGAAGUGAGGAGAGUCCGCAAGGUGGGUAGAGGGAGCGUUGGGAAUACGGAAAUUUAGAAGGGAAAUUAUAUUAAUGCUUUUCUAUUUUCAUGUCACCAGACAAACACGUGGCUUGUCUCAGACAAAUGCCCAACAGUUGAGAAGCGUCCGUAACUUGAUUUUAAGUUAUGUACGCACAUAAUGCUACUUUCCUUCUAAUGUGUUACAACCAUUAUAAUUUAUUAGGAGGUGAUCACGGCGCAAACACGCGGUGCAAAUUUGUAAAAUGUAAAUGUGGAAUUUUGACCAGUACAUAAUUUUUUUUUGUUUGGAGAAAAAAAAAGGGAGAGGACGAAAGAAAGAGAAGUAUGAGAAUACAAAAAAAAAAAGGGUGAAAGCAAGCAUUUGUUCUUGAAAAAUUCAUGAAUAAUUACGUCUUGAUAUAAAUAAUGAAAUUUAGCAGUUGAAAAAUUUAUUAGCUUUUUGAGUUUUUGUUGGAUUUGGAUUUUAUCCCACAAACUGUUUAUUUAUUGGGUUUAGAUUUUAUCCCACCAAUCGUUUAUGAGAUAAAACCCAAAUCCAACAAUUUCAUUUACCAUAGUAGUAGCGGAUAAGGAACCACUCGAAUUACUUAUUGAAAUUGUAAUAUAAAAUUUGGAAGAAAUAAGGAAGGAUAUUUUUUAUGAGAAGAUAUGAAGCAUUUAUGGUACAUAUUGUUUCUCAACCUAACUAUCAUCACUACCUGUGUCAGAGCAUUUGUGGACUUUUUUUGGCUGAAUAUUGGGCAACCUUGAUCUCUUUAAUUUCCUUUGAUAUCUCGGGAAUUUGGCUAAUUCGAAGAGUAGCACUGCCUCUUUUUGAUCUUUUACGUGACAGACAAAAUGGCAGUUUUAGCGUUAAAUAAUUAGCGUUAAAUAUUUUGAUUAAUUCGUUAUUAGCGGGGUGUUCGUAUAACUCCUUCACCUUCUCACGCUUCCAUUCUGCGUCAUUUUAUUUAUAUGCAUUUUUGUAAGCACAGUUUGCUGUCGUGCUGCGCUCGUGGUCCCGAUUUCGUACGCAAUUGUUUCACAUCGAUCACGAUAAUAUCGGUCUUGAAUUGGGUGAUACACACAUUUUAACAAAUAAUAUUUAAAAAUUCUAAAAAAUUAUUAAAAAUAGAAAAUACCAUAACAAAUACAGUAAUGAAAUUAAAAUUGCUAAAUGUAUAUGUUAAUAUAGCCAAUCACUAAUUCACUAAUUCAAUUAAAGAAGUUGACGUUGUUCUAACCAUUAAUAUCAAAGGACCACCAAUAUGGAUUGAUCUUAAUGUUAAAUACACUUCAUAUUUCUAAAUACAUGAUACAUGAAAUCCAAAUAUGAGAUCGAAAUCAUAAUCUCCAAUAUGAUACAGUACAAUUAUAGCCACAGGAAUCAAAUAUAUUUGUAAUAAAAAGGCACUACCUAUCAUAAAAUAAUAACUAUCCUAUGACUAGAGAACUAAUUUAAUAUAGAAAAAAAAGAAGAGUAAAUCACAAAAACAAACAUAUUAGUUUCAAAAAGCCAAAAAAAAGGACCUCUAACUCUGAGCCGAAUGAAUGAGCCUGAGAUCUGUCCUAGAAGAUGGAGCCACCAACUCUCUUGGGCCUAAAUUUGAUGUUUUGACUGAUUGGGUUAGUAGACUAAUUUAUUCAUUUAUCACCUUUUUUUAAGGCAAAAAUAUCAGCCCUCGUCAUUCUUUUUUGUCCAGAUCGAUGCGUUUCCUGGCUCUCGUAGUCCUUCCCCUUUCCUCUGUAAUUAAAUCAAGAAAAACCGCCUCAAAUCUCAAUUGACCUCCCACAGAUUAUAUCCUUCAAUUUUUUUAUACCAAAAAUCUAGAAUGAUAGAAGAAGAGAGAUGAUUAUGGUGAAAACACCCAUCUUUUUCUCUGAUUUUAGUGAAUUUAUAGUCAUCGAAUAUGCUUCUUUGUUGGUUUAUAUCAAUUACUUGAUGAUUGUUUGGUUCCUAUUGCUCGUUGAGUUUAGUGGAAGAAAACAAGGGUUUUAUUUGGAUUGCAAUUUUUUAGAGUUUUUUUUGUAGAAAAAUGUACGGUAGAAAUUUGAAAUAUGUGAAACAAAAAAAUUAGUGAAAAAUAUAUCCACGAAAAAAUGUAAUCAUUUUUUGUUGAAAAAUUGCUUUCCAAAGCCCCAAGUCUCAUUUAUUUUAUAUUUUUCAAAGUUAACUCGGUCGAUUGCAUCCUAGUUCUCAACGUGACCGCGCGUUACAAACAGGAUUAAGGAAGGUUACUGAAGACUUAUUCUAGACCAUUUGCCAUGACAUCCUCAUGAUAUUUUAAAUUUUUAGAAUUACUUCAUAUAUGUGAAAUAUCUAUUUGUGCCAUUUCAACUUUUUAAAAUUACGAUUUAACUCUAAAUUGUUUAAAAGCUUUUAAAUUUCUUGCUAACUUUAAUGUUUCUCAUGAUUAAAUUAGUUUUAAAAUUAAUUAUCUAAAUAGUAAGUUAAAUUUUAUAACUUUUCAAUAUUUAUUCAUAAAUAUUGUAUAUUUUAUAUAUUAUUAAGAUUUUAUUCUAGUUUGUUCCUUUUUUUAUUUUAUUCUUUAUUCAUUAUUCACACUUGGUACAAUAUAAUGAUUUCUUUGUUCUUGGAUAAGCUGUGAUUAUAAAAAUAAACUUAUUUAAUCUAUUUAUCAUCGCCAUAAUUUUUUAAGUUACUUUCAUCGAACUAAUUUAGUUCUAACACAUUGAUCAACCAAUUAUGCACUCAUAUAGUAUUAUUCAUUUUAGCGGUCUAUAUCACAAUCAAAAUAAUAUAUUAAUUAUUUGUGACAUAUUUAUGACAUCACAAUACAAUAACGGUUAGUCAAAUGGUUGAACCAAUGACAGUUAAUGUCACAGUAAAAUUUCUGUUUCAAUGACCGAUUUGGAUUUCAAAACCUUGGUUACAGGUAAUUUGAUAUUUUGGACGUCGAUAUAUCAUCUCACCGGCAUGCACUGAGUCGGUUGCGCAUCGUCUGAGUCAACUCGGACUCAGAACGAUAUGGUGAACUAUUGUGUGGGUAAAAAUAGUCAUAUAGUCAACGCCAACCAAUUUGUAGAAGUAGGAGGUACAGUGACCUGCAGAGAGAGCACACAAGAAGAAAGCCACACAGACACAAUGGAUCUACCCUUCAACUUCGUUGCUUUCUUUCUGUUCCUAUCCUUUCUUUUAGCUUUGAUCAAGGGGUUGAAGAGAUCAAAAACAGCCCAAAAACUGCCACCAUCUCCAUGGAAACUACCAAUUAUAGGACAUAUGCAUCAUUUGAUGGGUUCCCCCCCACAUCAUGCUCUCAGAAAAUUAGCUCAAAAGUAUGGACCUCUAAUGAACAUUCAGCUAGGUCAAAUGACUGCGAUUGUAGUAACAUCGCCCCGUUUGGCGAAGGAGAUCAUGAAAACUCAUGAUCUUGCCUUUGCAGACCGUGCAGAAUUCCUAUCUGGAAAGAUCAUGUGCUAUGAUUGUUCAGACAUCGCUUGCUGUCGAUAUGGUGACUACUGGAGACAAAUGCGUAAAAUAUGCACCUUGGAACUCCUCAGUGCUAAAAGCGUCCGAUCAUUUGCUUCUGUUCGCCAAGAUGAGGCUUUGCAUCUCAUAGCAUCGAUUAAGGUUCUAGCUGGUGCUCGAGAACCAAUCGAUUUAACAGAAAAAGUGUCCUCAUACACCAGUUCCGUGGUUUGCAGAGCAGCAUUUGGGAAGGUAAGCAAAGAUGAUCAUGCUGCAUUCUUACAGCUAAUGAAGGAAGCACUUCCUAUAGCAAGUGCCUUUGAUAUUUCUGAUCUGUUACCAUCAUUCAAGAUUCUUCAUCCCCUCCUAUCAGUAGAAUCUAAACUACUGAAGAUGCACGAUAAGGAAGACGAAAUUUUGGAAAAAAUAAUUGAUCAGCACAUAGACAACCAAGCAAGAAGAAAUAUAUCCACGGGCGAGUAUGGCCAGGAAGAUUUGAUUGAUGUCCUGCUAAGAGUUAAAGAAAGUGGUGAACUUCAAUUUCCAAUUACCAAGAAUAAUAUCAAAGCUGUUAUUCAUGUAAGUGCUCAACCAAUUUUUGUCUUAUUACGAUUACAUCUUUUAGUUUCAACUCUCAAACAAAGAUUUUAUGCAUUAUAUGUGAUGCAGGACGUAUUUGGAGCAGGAACUGAGACGUCGUCCUCAAUAGUGGAUUGGGCGAUGUCCGAGAUGAUUAGAAAUCCAGGUGUGAUGGCUAAGGCACAGAGUGAAAUAAGGAAUGCUUUUAGAGGAAAAAACAGGAUUGAAGAAACUGAUAUUCAACAACUGCAAUACCUAAGGUCAGUGAUCAAAGAAACUUUGAGGCUACACCCUCCAAUCCCUUUGUUGAUUCCAAGAGAGUGUAGGGAGGAAUGUGAAAUUGAUGGAUAUAUUAUCCCCGUCAAAACGAAAAUCUUGGUUAAUGCCUGGGCAAUUGGAAGAGACCCUGAGUAUUGGGAUGAUCCAGAAUGUUUCAAGCCAGAGAGAUUUGAAGAAAGUCCCAUUGACUUCGCUGGAAGUCGUUUCGAAUAUCUACCAUUUGGUGCAGGUAGGAGAAUUUGCCCAGGAAUUUCAUUCGGUUUGGCAAAUGUUGACGUUGCUUUAGCUCUCUUGCUCUAUCAUUUUGAUUGGAAACUCCCGAAUGGCCUCGACUCUAAGGAUUUAGACAUGAAAGAGACUGUUGGAAUAACUGCUUCAAGAACAAACAAUCUUCGCUUGCUGGCCACUUCCUAUGAUACAUCAUUUCAAUGGUUCGAAGACUCGGCCGAGACCGGCCGAGUCGUCUCCGUCUCGGCCUAGUCUGAGACGAGACCGCAAUGAAACGUUUACGAGAUACGUGACAGAUCGAAACGUCACCGUGAAGGGUUGAAACGACCGAAUCACACCGAAUUAUUCUGAAUCAUCCCGAGUCAACUUGAAUUUUUAUUAUUUUUACUACUUUUUAAUUAUUUUUAUUUAUCAUAUUUUUUACAAUUUUUAGAAUAUUAAAUAUUUCACAAAUUCGCGUCUCGCCGAGAUCGCGACCGAUAUGCCGAGACCGAUAUGGAAGGGUCCAAGCCGCGACCGCGACUUUGAACCAUGUCUGUGAUCCCUGAUUUGAAAAAUCGAGCUCUGUAAGCAUAGUUUCCCUCUCCUUUCAAAGCCUAUGAUUUAUUGAAUGGAAACUUACACGGCCAAUGUAUACCUUAUAAUUUUCCCGGUGAUAAUGAUAUGUGCUUUUUUUAUUUUUUAUUUUUUGUAUGGACAAACGCUUUAGAAUCAACGGUGCCAAAGUAGAUAAAACAGGCAGCAAUGGAAGAUCCCUUCAACUUCAUUGCUUUGUUUCUUUUCCUAUCAUAUCCCUUGGUAGAGCUUUUGUCAACCAAACGAAAAGAUGGAGUUGUAACUUAUACCAAGGUUAAGGAUACGAUACAUAUGCAGUCUGAUAAUUUCUAUAGUACUUUAAUUUUUUACAAACCGACCUUGAAAUUGGUUAAUAUUCUCAAAGUGAUCUAGAAUAUUAAAUUUCAAAAGAACUCAGUACACAGAAAAGCAUAAAUUUUAGCUCAUGUCACUAUGACCAUUUCUACAUAUCAAAUGUAUAAAAUCUUAUCGCAAAUUUUAAUUAUUAUUCCUUCCUUGCAAAUGUUUGGUUCUUGCGAUUUUUUAAAAGAGUAAAUCUUAUAUACACUGACAGUACACGUACUUCCAUCGUUUUAAAUUUAUGAUAUAUAUGUAAAAGUUAAGUUUAGAUUUUAAAAUUUAUAUAAUUAUCAUUAAUUUAAUGCAUUCCUUUUCAAAAUAUGACAAAUCACAAAUAAGAAAAGAAACUACGAAAUAAUGGCGCACAACGAUUGAUGCGUGUAAGAGUUGCAUUUUAAACCAAACGCGAUAUGGUCCUACACCGUAUCGGCAAAAUAAAUAUAACUCGUAAUUGCCUUUUUGGACUAAAAGAUGCCUUUUUGUGCCCUUCAUGACAAUCAUGUGGCAAACAGACCCCACUGUUUUUCCAAUAAUUGGCUGUUUUUCCAAUAAUUGGUGGCUUUAUUGGACCUAGUUGCACGGCAAAUUCUGCCAUGAGCCCCACAAAUGGGCCCACAUAUGGUCGUUGAGCAUAGUGACCAUUUAUGAGCUUCCGGUCGACAUGGUCCGGUAGAAGCGCUGAAGCAAAGAUUAAAAUAUGUUUUGUAUAGCUAUCACGCACCUUAGAGGAUCUCACCAAGAUCUAGGUUAGGAAGACUUUUCUGCCCCUAAAAUAUAUAAAAAUAUCUGGACAGAGAUGUCAAUUUGGGCGGCCUGCUGCCAAUUCAAGGGCUGGAACAUGGAUCUUAGGAAUUGGUCAGCAAGCUGAGGCUUGUUUGGGCAGUAAUUUUUUAAAAAAUAAUUAUUAUAUUUUUUAUGAAUAUAUUUUUAAAUAAAUUUUUUUAUUUUAUAUAUAUUAAAUUGUUACAGUAUUUUUUUUUUAUAAAAAAUCUAAAAAAUACAAUUCAAACAAAGUCGAAGAUUGUUUGUUCUUGAUUGCAGUGAUUCAAACAGUCUCUUCAUGUCUAAAUCGCUGGAGUCGAGGCCAUUUGGGCGUUUCCGGUCAACAUGAUAAAGCAAAAGAGCCAGACGAAGCUCAAUAUUGGCCAAACCAAAAGAAUUCCCUGCACAAAUUCUCCUCUCUCAACCAAAAUGGUUCGGGAGGACUUGCAGUGCAUUUCUAUUGUCACAAUUUUGCGUAUGUAGUUUUUCUUAUCAACAUUGAUGAUAAAAGGGAAGAACAGUUUAGGUAGAUAAAAACUACAAGCAUUGCUACACUAUAAUCAACUAAGCAGUGCAAAACAAAAACUACAUGAUAUUGAAUGACAAAUGGAAAUAUUAUUAGAAAAGUCAUAGUUAGGCGGGUUUUUCACUUAUUGCAAAUCAUUUCUUUACUAGUUAUUCGUACUACUCCAAUAAAUAGUUUAGUUAGUACUAGCGGUCUCUCUCAGGAAUAGGCGAUUUUAAAAAUCACUAUAAGCAACUUAAAAUAUGUUGGUUGCUUACUGUAAAGUGUAAACUAGGAAUGGGGUCUCCUAAAUUGAUUCCCUACCCAUAUAUAUAUAUAUAUAUAUAUAAAGAGAGAUUAACCGAUAUUCAUCCUAAGCAUGGUUUAAACCAGCUCAACCUUGAUGGUUGAACCGGUUAGAGCUCGAUCAAUCUACUAUCCAGUUUGAUCCCGUUUGUUUGGAUUGCAGUUUAUUUACCAAAAUAUAUUUGCUUACAUCAUCAUCACAAUUUUCAACACACCUUUUUAUCUUCCCAAUUACCUUUUUUAUCUCACAUACAUCACAUCACAAAAAGUGCUACAGUAAAAAUAUCUCUAAUAAUUCACAAUCCAAACAAAUAGAAUUUGCCUUGACUCAGUUGAACCGGCUAGUUUGCUGCCACUAGUUGAAUUAAGACCAAAGUUUUCAAAUUUGGUCAAACUUCCAGAUUAAAUGAUAAUCUGCAUAUAAAUACAAACCAAUUUCCAAUACAAUCUUAUUUUCAACAAACUUAUGGUAAAUAACCUCAUGCAUUUGUGUCUUUUUAUAUACAUUUUUUUUUCAUUUUUCUCUACCUUCCCCAAAUUACACAUAAGUAUAUUUCUCUUUUCAACUUUUGAUCAAAGUCUAAGCACAUAUACUUUAUGUCCUUUUUAAAAGGUUAAUUUAUUGUACUUCCUUUUUUUUUUCUUAUAGCCUUUUCACAAUUUAGAUAUUCCCUAAAUAUAAUUAAUAAUCAUUACCUAGUUGUGACAUCAUGGAUUAAUCAUUUUGGCCCAACAAUCGAACAAAUAAUUCUUGACCCAAUAAAUUUCUGGUCAAUAAAUGGGUUGGAUUUCAAAACCUUGGUUUUAAGAUUUACUUUUGCACAAUUCAUGUAUAUGCAGCAGUCUGUCACAUUAGGGGUGGGCACGGGUCGGGUACCCGCCCCGAACGCUAAUUGGCUGACCCGACCCUAACAUAUCGGGUCACUAUUUUUUUGACCCUAAUCCGCUCCGAACUUCCUCGGGUACCCGAUCCUCGGAUACCCGAAAAAUAGGGGCGGGUCAUAGGGUACCCGCCCCUAUUUAAAGAAUGCAAUUUUUCUCUAAAACUCAUAAGACAUAAGAUGAACCUGCUGGACGAUAGCAUCAUUCAACAAAAAAAAAAGGCAACAACAUCAUUCAAAUUCAAACUAGACAAAGACAAAGCAUAUUCAAAUCUAAAAAAUGAUCAGUAGCAGUAGUUCCACACUAAAUCAUAAAGUUAGAAAUAUCUACUCUGAUACAUAACUUCCAAAAAGGGCAUAUAAAUGAGAAAAAUGUACACUAUAUAGACAUUCUCAAAUCCAGCAAACAUGGCAUAAUGCAACAAUUUUUGGAUCCAUUGAUGAUGAAUGAUCAACAUUUGGGCUUGCAGCUGUAGUAGCUGUAUUAUCCCCUGUACUUGACAUCUGAAAAAUUCAAAAAACAAAUCAAAUGAAAAUCCCACUUCUCUACCAUAUGCGCAGCUAAUACAUAGCUCAGAAACUCCUAUAAAACCAUGUGCAGAUUCAUUUUAGAAAGAAAAGGGCAGUUGGAAUAAUCUUAAGAACAAUAACAAAAAAUUGCUCACAAUCCUCAGUUGCUUGGCCUGCUAAUUUAAAUAUUGAGUGCAAAGUGUAGCUAAACCCAAAGGGGGAAAAAUGUCCAAUGUAUGAAAAGAAAAGGCAAACCAAUACUCUCAAAAAAAAAAAAGAGUUUUACACUAUUACAACUUCAGCAGGUAUAGAGGUAUUAUCUUAGAAUUUGCACAUUGAAUUGAAUUAUGUUAGACAAAAAAGCUAAAGUAAUUAUGCAGCUACAUUGCACUGGAGGAAAAUAAUGAACGAUGUAGAGUUUCCAGUGUUUGUUCAUGUCUUAGUAUCUAUAUGCAAGAAUCAAUAAUAUUCUUGAGAAUUAGAAUCAGUAAAUUUUAUGGUACAUCAUAUCUCUUUAAACCUUAGUUGGAUAACUGUGUAAUUUACAACUUAAAGUUUUUGGUUUAAUCUGAAUUUUUGGUUUGAACUCGUCUUGUAGACAUUAGAGCUGAUUACGGUACAUGGACACACUUGUGAAGCAUUUAAUUGAAUAUUUUUUCUUAAUUAGAAACUCAGGACAAAGUGCAGUAUGUUCUUAUUUUUCAGAACCUUAGGCACAAUUUCUCCCACCGUUCUUGAAUUUCAGAACAUAACCUAAGCCUUACGCAUAUGCGUGCAACAGUCCACCAAAAGUACAGAAAAAGCCAUGUAAAGUAAAACUCUCUGCAAAUGAACAACUAGCCUAUGAGAGUUGGUCUAAGACCUCAAAUGUCAAAGCCAUGAGAGUAUCUCCAUGGAAAAUUAUGGCCAGAAUUUGUUUCCGUACCUGUACCAUUUAUGCCGAUUGCCGACCCCCUUUUUGGUUUUUUUUUUCUUUUUUCUGUAUGGGUCCAGCAAUUCCUAAUCUUAAUUGUACAACCCAGUUUCGAUUUGGACGAAAGAUCAGAAUUCAUGUAGCCAAUUCGACAAAUGCAUAGACGUACACAAUACACAUAGAUGCAGAAUAGUUUUGCAGAAAGAAUUGAACUUAAAAGAAAAUAGUUAUUGAAAAACCUUGAUAGCUAAACCACCCGGCUCCGGCGUCGGCGGCGUCAGGCGACCUUUUGGCAGCGUCCCUUUACUCGAAGUCGAAGGUAGAAAAGGACGACAACGGAGAAACAGGGCUGAAGAGAAAAGGAUUCGAUUCAGUCAGGCAGUUUGAGGAGUUUUAACGGUAGUUUUCGGCCCUAGGUUUGAGAGACAAGAGCAUCGGCCACUGAAGAGUGAAGAGUGAAGGUGAAGAGUGAAGAGUGUCGACGGCUGAAGCAGAGGAUGAAAUCUGAAGGUUAGGAACCUAGGGUUAAUAACUUAAAAAAUUAUAAAAUUGCCCCUAUAUUUUUUAAUAUUUAUAUAUUAUACCCCCGGGUCGGGUACCCGCGGGUUUUUGCUUUUACGAUCCGUACCCGUAUCCGAAUGUUCCGGAUACCCGACCCUAUCUGAUCCGCUAAGAGAAAUCGGAUCGGAUAUCCUAUUUUUCGGUGCGGAUCGGGUCGGAUCUCUCGGGUUUUCGGGUCAGCGGGUAUUUUUGCCCACCCCUAUGUCACAUGUUAAUUUAAUAUUGUAGUCCAUAAUGGUGAAUUCUGUCCAAAGAAGUACCAUGCUGACUUGGCAAGAAUUGCUUAGCCCGUCGAUAGAAGGAAAGUUUGCUUGGGCCAGAUCAAUUUAAAAAAAAAAAAAAAAAAAAGGUCGAUGGUGAGGAUUAGGUUUCUCAAAAAGAAAAAAAAUGUAAGUUGUGGAUUAUGUGGUGUACAUCGUUUUCAAAAUUGUGUGUACGAUUUACAAAUAAUUAUUUUAUGUUUACAAUAUGUUCAAAGUGAUUUACAUCCUAAAGAAACAAAUUCACAUUUUGUCAAAAUGGACAAAACUGCCCUGGGAGUGUUGCACCAUCGUGUCCCCGGCCAUCGUUUAUAGCCUUGGAUAUCCCUACUCUAUUUUUUUUUUUUUUUAUAAUCCACAAGUAUCGCAUCCGUUUUACAGUCUGUGAUUAAUUCUAUUCAAUUCGUGUUAGGCCCUUUGCAGGAAAGCUCUCCUAACAUUAUCUUUUUCAUUCUCAUGAGUUUCAAACCCGAAAUUUCACGGUUAAAGGAUGCAAGCCCUUUCUGCUUGCACCAACAUCCGUUAGCGGAUAUCCGUACUAUAUCUAAGGAGAGCGUGACACUUCCACUGCUCACCUCUUUUCAUCUCCACUUCUAGGGUUAAUUUUGUCAUUUUAUCUGAUGCUUUUUGACUAUUUUUUUUUGGCAUGGCAUACUACUAACAUCUACUGCAAAUGUAGUUGAAGUAUGAUUUUGCCCUCAUGUCCUGCUUUUUGCUUCAAUUGGGUGGAGUGUAUAUGUAUGAGUUUACUGUUCUACCCUUUAAGAUGCUAAUUGAGUGGGUAUUUUGUACAAUUUGUCUUUGGACUUUUUGGUCAAUUAGUUCAUUAGAUUUGGCUGGUAGGGUUAAUAAAAGUCAGUAUUAAUUUUGGUACACAUAAGCUUUUACCAAGAAGAAAACAAACAUCCAAAAAUCUAAGGGCAAAAAACCGUGGUGGUCCUCAAAUUUUCAACUUUGCACACUUUUAGUCCUCUAACUAAUAAGUGCAUAAAUGUAGUCCUUCAAUUAAUAAAAAUGUGUAGUCAUAGUCCUUCCGUCUAAUUUGACUGUUAAGAUGGACGAGAAGAUACAAAAAUGAUACAAAAAAGAAAGGGAUAAUUUCAGAAACCUCCCUUGAGGUUUUUAACAAUUUCAUUUAGCUCCCUUGAUGUUUUAAAAAUUACACAUACCUCCCUUAUCAUUUAAAAUGAUAAUACUACCCUUGAAUAUAUAAUGAAAUUUCCUUGUUUGGUAUGUUUAUAUUUAGAAUGACUUUUAAAAUUAUUUUGUAUUAUUUUUCCUUCUUAUUCCUUUUUUUUAAAAUUUUUUGCCAAUAAAACUGUAAAACUAUCAUUAUUAUCUCUAGUUUCUAUUGCAAUCAAAUGUCCAAUUAGUGAUUUUUUUUUUAUGAGUUAACUUUAUAUGCAAUCCAAUGUUUUCGCUGAUCUUUAUUUCUAUUUUUUGGUAUUAAAAUUAACAAUAAAUCAAAAGAAAAUGGUCCGAAAUCACUAUUAAAUUAUGAUAAUCCAACUAUUCGAAAAAUUCAUAAACACUAAAUGAAUUAUUUUAACAUUUUCUUUUCUAUCUUAUAAAUUUAAAUCCAUAAUAAAAUACCAUCAAAAGUAUCCUAUCAUAACGAUAAAACUAUUAUUAUUGCCGUUUAUCAAUAGUAGGUAUGAAUAUGAAAAAUUUGGCACAUUUUUCUUAUAAUUAUACUAGAUAAUCUUAUAAUUGUAUAGGGAAGUAAAUUAAAACUCAUUGCACAAGAGUAUUUUUGGAAAUUCAUUUAAAAAUUUGACCAAAUCAAUAUUAUUUUAAGGUUUUGUUACUAAAACUAUCAAAUCAAGGGAAGUAGGUGUAAUUUUUCAAACAUCAGGGGAGCUGAGUAAAAUUUUUAGAAACCUCUAGGGAGUUUUUUGUAAUUAUUCCAAAAAUAAAUGUCAUGUGAGCAAUGUGUGAUGUGUUUCCCGUCUGUCUUAACAGUCAGAUUGGACGGAAGGACUACAACUACACAUUUUUAUUAAUUAGAUAACUACAUUUACGUACUUAUUAGUUGGAGGACUAAAAGUGCGUAAAGUUAAAAGUUUGAGAACCACAACGAUUUUUUGCCCAAAAUCUAAUGCAUCCAAAUGGGGCCAAAAGGCAGAGCUCCUCUUAUGUCCCACUACUUUGUGCUACUUUUCCUUCUUGGAGAUUGUUUUUCGGCUUCUGCAUUUAUUUUCAACAAUAAUUUUCCUGUUCCUUCUUCUCAUUUUCGUAUAUUGGUGCUUAAGAUUUCAUCCAAUUUUUUUUUUUUGCUUAUAUUUUGGGUUUUUUUUAAACUCCUUUUAGUCCUUAGUUCCCUUAUUUUGGCUCAUAUUUUGGGCAUUUUACUUUUACAAACUAGCGAAUUUGGCCUCCUUUUGUAGAGGCUCUAUCGAUGAUGCUCCCUGUUCUGUUCUAUUAAGUUAAUUUAGGCGUUGUGCUUAUUUGGAAAUAUGAAAAAAUCGGAAGAAUAGCGAUUGUGAGUUUGAGACUCACAAGCAAGCGUCUGCCAUGCUACUGCUAUUCUAUCUUAGAAAUUCUAUAAAAGCAUAACAAAUGCUUUUUUUUAUGGUAUUAAAACACUAGUGCAAAGUGUUAUGAAAUUAACCUAAAGCAGAGUGAAUAUAGCAACAGACUUGGAAGCCACUCCUCACAUAUUCACCAAAAGUACUCAUGCUCUAUGUUUCUGCACUAGCGUCAAGUGAUGCGUCAUACACAGUGGCAAGCAAGCGAAAAUUGUUUUUUCUUGGUGCAGUUACUCCCAUAGUCUCUGUCAUGUCUAAAUCACCGGGUUUGAGACCAUUUGGGAGUUUCCAGUCGAAAUGGUAGAGCAGAAGAGCUAAAGGAAGUUCAACAUUUGCUAAACCAAAUGAAAUUCUAGCGCAAAUUCUCCUUCCUGCACCAAAAGGGAUAUACUCAAAAUGAGUUCCAUUGAAAUCAAUCGAGCUGUUCUCGAAUCUCUCUGGUUUAAAACAUUCUGGAACAUCCCAAUACUCGGGGUCUCUUCCGAUUGCCCAGACAUUAAUUAUAACUCUUGUCUUGAUGGGAAUGGUAUACCCAUCAAUCUCAGUUUCCUGCCUACACUCUCUUGGAAUCAACAUAGGGAUUGGAGGGUGUAGCCUCAAAGUUUCUUUGAUCACUAACUUUAGGUACUUCAAUUCUUGAAUAUCAGUUUCUUCAAUUGUUCUCUUUCCUAUGAAGGCUUUCCGUAUUUCACUUUGUGCCUUGACCAUCACUCUUGGAUUUCUAAUCAGCUCGGACAUCGCCCAUUCCACUGUUGUAGUUGAGGUUUCUAUUCCCCCUGAAAAAACAUCCUGCAUCAAUGCCAAAAUUCUUUGUUACAAACAAAACAGGCAAGUUAAUCACGAAGCUAAAACUUAGUUGUUAACCAUAUAUCAUUUGGCAUUCUUUAGAACUCGCAAUCCUUUUAUUCUAAAGUUGUUGAAAGCAAUUAAAACUCAAAAGGGCUUUGAAAGCGAUCCUUUUAUUAAGUGAUCAUCUCAUUUGGUUCAAACAAGCGUCUCGACAAUGGUAUUUCAAAUUUCAUCAAAUGAUCAUCGCAUUUGGUUUUGAGAUGAAUUUAGUAAAUGAUUGCAUAUACCAUAAGUUCUGUGGGAGCAAAUAUAUUUUUCUGGUAUUGUAUGUUGAUGACAUUUUGCUUAUCGGCAACGAUAUUGAUCUAAUGCAUGAAACCAAGGAAUUUUUAACUAAGAAUUUUGAAAUGAAAGAUUUUGGUGAUGCAUCUUUUGUGCUAGGUAUAAAACUACACCGAGAUCGAUCUCAGGGUAUUUUAGAACUAUCACAAAAGAGCUAUAUCGAAAAGGUUCUCAAAAGUUAUGGCAUGCAAAAUUGUAAACCAGGUGACACUCCCGUGGCUAAAGGAGACAAAUUUAGUCUUGAGCAGUAUCCUAAGAAUACUUUUGAGGAAAAAGAGAUGCAAAAGAUUCCUUAUGCGUCAGCAGUAGGGAGUCUAAUAUAUGCUCAAAUAUGUACGCAUCCGGAUAUUGCGUACAUUACUGGAAUGUUGGGUAGAUAUUUAAGUAAUCCAGAAUUAGAUUAUUGGAAAGCAACUAAACGGGUCUUACGAUAUUUACAGAAAAUAAAAGAUUAUAUGCUCACGUAUCGAAAAUCAGAUGAGUUAGAGAUCGUUAGGUAUACUGAUUCCGAUUAUGCUGGAUGCCAAGAUACUAUGAAGUCAACGUCAGACUAUGUGUACUUGUUGGCUGGAGGUGCUAUAUCCUGGAAGAGUGCUAAACACUCCCUCAUAGCAUCUUUCACUAUAGCUGCAGAGUUUAUAACUUGUUAUGAGACAUCCAACCAAAGAAUUUGGCUGCGAAAUUUUAUCACAGGAUUACGUGUAGUAGAUAGCAUUGAAAAACCACUCAAAUUAUUUUGUGACAACAAGUCAGCAGUUCUAUAUUCCAAUAAUAACAGGAGUUCGACGAAAUCUGAACAUAUAGAUAUCAAGUUCCUGUCUGUUAAAGAAAGAGUACAGAAUGAACAGUUAUCGAUAGAGCAAAUUGGGACAAACUCCAUGGUUGCGGAUCCGCUUAUUAAGGGAUUACCACCCAAAAUAUUUCAUGAGCAUACUGCUCGUAUGGGUGUCAUAGUGAUAAAUGAUGUACAGUUUUAGUGGGAGUUUGAUAUUUUAAAUGCUCUUAUGAUACUUUUCGGUUAUUAAUGAUUUAAGGAUAUUUUUGCAUAAAUAAAGUUUGGAUUUAUUUACACUCUGAUUUUGGUGUGGUUUGAUCUCAUAAAAUUUAAGAUGGACCAGUUGGAAAUAGGCAUGUUUUGAUCACAUUACAUGAAAUUUUCAUGCUACACAUUCACAUCAUGAUUCAUGUCAUUCAAUUGCAUCGAUAUAUGUGACCAUUGAUGGGUCGAGUCACGAAAUUGUGACAAAGGCCUCUUUGAUCCUAUAUUGGUGUGAUUGAUGGACCGAAUUGGCUACAGAUAUAUUUUAGUAAUGACAGUAAAGUUGAGCUCAUACGGUUAAUUGGGAAAUAUAAUUAUAAGGUUACACAUAUAGUCCAAGUGGGAGAUUGUUGGAUCCUUAAUCCAACAUUGGACUUAUUGUUGGAUCCGCAUGCUUUUAAUGAUGUAAGCUAACUUGUUUUCUGGCUUCAGGAAGACAUUCGUCCUUUCCCCAUAUUGUCCUUGGGGCUGAAGUUGAGGAGUACUAUAAAAACUUGUUCACUAGUCCGGGAGUGCUGUGUUUGAAGGAAAUACUUGAUGGAAUUUCACACUCUAUCACUGACCAAAUAAAUAACAACCUAACCAAACCUGUAGAGGAAAAAGAAUUUAAGAAAGCCUUGUUCUCAAUGCACCCCAAUAAAGCUCCAGGACCAGAUGGAAUGUCCCCUUUUUUCUUCCAAAAAUUCUGGUAUCUCAUUAAAGAUGAUAUGGUAAAGGCGAUUCAAAGCUUUUUCCAUUCCAGCCUCAUGCUUAAGGCUAUAAACAACACUGUCCCAUUUACUAUUCUCUUCGUCCCAUUUAUUUAAUCAUGUUUAGGGAAUCUAACUUUUUAAAAAUAGUAAUUUCAUUGUGAUAUUUGUACUUCUCUUUCUAAUUUUAUUUCUACAAAUUCAAAAUUUAAAUUUGAAUGGUAACAUGCAUAUGAUUAGAAAGAAGAACUAUAUUAGAAAGAGAGACUAAAAAGUAUUUUGACUUUUCUAACAUGACAAUUGUUUUGAGACAUCUAAAAAUGGAAAGUAUGAUAUUUUCAAUAGAACGAAGGGAGUACUACUUUGAUUGAUAUAGGAAAAUAUGUGAACAGGGAAAAUCAUAAAAUGCUCAAAACCAAAUUAUCUUUCUAAAAGCUGUUUGCUAGGUUUAAUUACAAAUUAUGCUGGGAAGGGAAGGUUGGAUGAUAUAAAGAAAUGGAGUGUAAGUGAGAGGUUUCAAAUUUAAAACUACCCAUUUACACUAAAAAAAUAUAAAUUAAUCUUUCCUACGCUGACCAUGUAUACACCAUCAGUAUUGGAUAAAUAACAACUAUGCAAAAUUUAAAUUUGAAAUCCAAUUUUUGCACAUGUGUCAUAAAUCUAAUGAUGAUAGUGUAUACACUACUUGUGUAUAUAAGAUUUACUCAAAAAAUAUUAGUACAAAUUAUAUUUUGUCACAUAUUAACUUCUUUUCAACUUAUCAAAUCGCACAUUUAACUUAUCAUCACUCUUCUCAUAUAGAACCAGUGAUCUUAAUUAGAGUCAUAUGAUUGCACACUAUAUUUUACAAGUUUUCAAUAAAAGUGAAAAUCAUAAGAAUAAAAAAACCUUAAAUUAUAUGGAUCAAUUUUUACGAGAUAUACGAAUUUGUUCAUCAUUUCAUUUGAUUUUUACCAAUUUAUUAAAGUCCCAUCCCGAAUUAGUAUGUUAGAGCGUAUUUUGUUUAUUAAGAUCAAGAUUUGAUACUUAAUAUUCCUUAGGGGAGAAUAAAAAUAUUUGUCAAAAAAUACAAGAAAGAAACAUGAUAACUUGGAGAUUCAAAACAAAAAUGAUUGAAAUUAUCACGACAAGAUGACAAGAAGCUUAGCGUAAUUGGACACUUAAUUUUAGCAUCCUUUAUUAAACUGUAUUAAAAUAUCUUCUAUUAAAAUCCCUAAGGUCUUUUCAAAAAAAUAAAUAAAAAGAAAGAAUUUGGCUGCAAUAAAAGUACUUUAUAUCAUGAAACCUAAGCUGGAAAUUUUAGAAGUCUAUUGACAAUCUGUUUAUUAUCCUUAAAAUUUUUCUUGUUGGAUUAAUGUUCACUUUAAUAUAUACUUUGUUCAAUUUUUUAAACUUUAAAUCAAACAAUAAGGAUUAUAACAUAGCAAUAACAAUAAAUUGAGUUAUCAAAAUUUUCAAAAAAAAAACAACUAAUAUUAAACUCUUAUUCUUUAAAAAAAUAGUUUUUAUUAUAUUACUGUUACUCUUGUAUGUCAAAUUGUUAAAUAUUAAAUACUUAACCAAAAUUGUUAAGAAAAAGGCUGAUAUGCCUUGUUUUUAAACUUAGAAGAGAAAAUUAGAGAUUAUAUAAGGUCAUUAAAAUUUGAACCCAUCAUACAACCUUCGGAAUAAAAAUUGGGAAGCUAAGUAGAUAACCAAUUGGUUAAAUGAAUUAGUCCUAAUAGUUGAGGCUAGCACUUGGGGUAUUAAUAAAUUUAAAACACAGACUACAGGGGAACCACAGAAAUGAAGAUGCUUUUAAAGGGAAGGUUAGGUGAAGAAGAGGGAAAAAUCUCUUAGGCCAUGUUGAAUAUUUAAUUCGGCCAUCAAAAACAGUGGGUCAAAGACAUAAUGGAAAGUCAGAGUAGACAUGGGAUCAAUGGAGAACAGAGACAAUUGUCAAAGCAGGAAGAUGAAAGCUUAAGCUGCAUGCGUCCAGGUUGCACUUCAAAGCUUUCUAUGAGUAUUAUUCAUCGUCUUUUUGUCAAAUACCUAUGCGACAAAAUCAUGCAAGGCCAUUUUCGCCUCAUGUCUAAGUCGAGUCAUAGUACCAAAACAAAGUUUUUUUUUUUUUUUUAUAAAAUAGAAGUUAAUAUUGUUAAUAAACAAAUUAAAAAUCAUCCAACACAAAUUAUUUGACAAAAAAAAUUACAUUAAUGACAAAAAAUAUACAGAAUAUGUCUUGGCGAAAAUACAUGAAACAUAUCACAGAUAAUUAUGUGAUUAUGAAAUGUAUUUGAGACUUAAAAGAUGGUCUAAACUAAACAUGCAACUUGACAAUUGUAAAGUAAUUUUAUGGAAAUAAAGGAGAUAAUUGUAAAAUAAUUUCAUGCAAAUAAGGGAGAAAUGAGGGAAAAGAAAGGUAAAAUUCUAAAAUUUUUUAUUUUAAAUUACAAGAAUCAUAGCAAAUAUUAUGUUAAAUAAGAUGACUAGUUUGUUUUGUUGAAUCUUGUAAUCAUUAAUGUCAUUUCAUUACUUAUUUAUGUUGUCUAAUUUAUUAAAUGUGAGCUUUUUGAGUGAUUAAAUAUGUAUAUUAAUUGUUUCUAAUUUUUAAUUAUUUUUAUUCUUUUACUAAUACUACUUAUAUACAUGCAUAAGGAGUAUUUAUGGAAUAAAAAUUUCAUCUCUUUUUUAAAAUAUUUUUUUAAUGUUACUUUUUCUUUCUAAUUAGACUAACUUUAUUAUCAAAAUCUUAACCUCAAUUGGGAUGUUUGUACAAUUUUAUAAAUUUCAGGGGAGACUAGUGAAAUUUUCUUAAACAUUUGAACUAAACAAGUAUUAAUAACCCUUAGAUAACAUUAAUUGAAUUGAUUAAAUAGUAAAAUAAUUCAAAAACACAUGUCAUGUCGAGUCGGGCUUCAUCACCAUAAUUAAUAUUUCUCGCACGUGUCUCUCCCACGUUGUCCUUCCUACGCAAGCCACGUUCAAAGAGUUCAUCACGUGAGAGGGCAGGAGGGAGCCCGCGGGUGGUUGUUGUUCCUUCAAUACCACACAUGAAAGUUAACGCCAGUUUAGUAAAGCGGUUUUUUUCAGACUUGACAAAACUUGGUGCAGAGCAAAUGGUUCUGUCAUAUCAAAUUCGGGCUGAUUCCUGUCGCUUACCACAUCAAUUUUUUAAUCGCAGAAAAAUUUAAAAAAAUUACUAGUAAAACAACCGGCAACUUGCUACUUUAUUUUAUUUAUCUGUCAAGUCACGUAAGACCCAAAUCCAUCCCACAUCUUUUGUUUGUCGCCUGAUAGGGAUGAGCAAACGGUGCAAAAUUGAUAAUUCGGUUAUAUGAAUUCAGUAAAUUCAGUUAUUAAACUUAUAAAAAUUUAAACUACUUUCAAAUUCUAAUUGGAGAUACUCGAUUCAUUUCACUUCAAAAUUGAAUUCAGAAUUGGUAAUGAUUAAAAAAAUCUGUUGAAUCCUUUAACUACAGUUUCCAUUCUUAUAUAGCUUUUUUGGAAAAAUUUGCAAAUCACUUAAUUGCUUUUAAUAGUGAAAGCCAAUACACUAAUACAUUGAUUUGCAAUUCAUAUGCAUCCACUUAGACAGCUUUGUUGUCUUAUUUAUGCUUAAAACCUUAAGAUUAGUGAAUAGAAAAUAUGAAUUUUUAUGUUAAAUAUGUAAUAUAAUUUUAGAGCAUACUAGUACUUGCAAGUUACAAGUUAGGCAUUCAAAUAUUCAAUAAUUCAAACAUGAAUGAUGUACCAAAUUACCAAUAUCUAAAUUCUAAUUACUAAUUAUGUUUAUUGUUUAACAUUUAGUAUUAUAUACUUAUUAAUUAUUAUCUAAUUAUAGUCAUGUAUAAAAUAAUAAGUAUUAUAGUUAUGUUAUGUAUUAUUGUAUAUUUGUAUUAUUAUAAUCAUAUAACAAUUAAUAAAUACUAAAAUAGCAUAUUGUACAUCAUUAUAUAUUAUUAUUAUCAUAAGUACAUGAUAAUACCAUAUACUAACUAUUAUUAAUAGCAUUUACCUAUAUAAUAUAAUAAUAUAUACUAAUGUUAAAUAGCAUUUAUCUAUAUAUUAUAUAAUUUUAUAAACUGAUUUAGUAUCCGAAUGCCGAAUUUGAAUGCCGAAUCUAUUAGUACCAAAUUCAUAAUCUCAUUACUUAUUUCAUACCAUAUUAGAAUUCGGUAAAUACCGUUUUUAUACCAAAUUACCAAAUACCUGAUUUCAAAUUACCAAAUUGAAUUUGAAUUCCGGUAUAAAUUCUGUAUGUACUGAAUUUGCUCACCCUUAUCGCUUUGGUUAAUCCAAAGGCUACAGCUAUUGAUAAGUUUAAUAAUCUUAAUUAGGCCCUAAUGACUUGUGUAGUUGCAUGGGUCUAUUAAUAUGUGAAAAAUCUUACAUGUAUUAGUGCUCAAUGCACACCCAAUAUAUGUGUAAUUAAAAAUACAUAAUAUUUAUGAUCAUAUAUUUUAAAAAAUUUAUUAUUGAAGCAAAUUUUAAUUUUUUAAAUAUUUUUCAUAAAAUAAGUUUAUAUUGACAAUUAUAAUGUUUAGGGGUAGUUAUGUUAAAAAUAUAUAUUAUAGAUGCUAAUUACAAUCAACAGCCUUGGCCUAUUUAUUAUUUUAAUUUGCACUUUCUUGUUAGUAAAUGCAAGUGUUAUGCUAAUAAUAUCUGUAAGUCAAACAUGAACUAUACAUGAAAACUAACUAGUCAGAAUGAAACGUUUAUUCAGUUUUCAAUAUUUGAUAUAAUGAAUAUUUAGAUAUUAGUAUGGAAUAUAUUAAAUACAAAUUUGACUUAAUUACUUUGGAUUAGUUUAUAAGACAUAAUAUGUCUUAUAGCGUUUUGUUAAAAGUUUGCAUUUUUUAACAAUAUAAGUAGCAACGUAAAACAUAAAUUACAUGAAUUCAAACAAUUAUAAUUUAUUUUUAAUCCAUUUUUAAUUAUGGUAAGAUUCAAUUCUUGCACAAUUGCUCAAAAGUCAAAGAAUUAGGUAUCUAAAACAUUAGUUUUCUAGUAUAUAAAAAAAUUAUUUUAAAUACAAGGAAAAUUAGUUAUAUAAAAAAUUACAUUCAAAUAUUAAUUAAGCUUAUAAAUUGGCUAAGAUAUCAUGAUGCAAUAUAAACAUAAUCAUGGGUAAUUAUAAAUAGUUAAAGUAAAAGUAGAUUUUAUAAAGACAAAAAAAAAAGUUCAUAAAGUGAAGAUAAAUGUUAACCUAAUGUCAACCACAAAUUCCUUCUUUGGGUUUUAUAUAUAGUAUAGAUGUUAAUUACAAUCAACCGCCUUGGCCUAUUUAUUAUUUUAAUUUGCAUAUAUUCCUUCUUAUUAGUAAAUGCAAGUGUUAUGCUAAUAAUAUCUGUAAGUCAAACAUGAGCUAUACAUGAAAACUAACUAGUUAGAAUGAAAAGUUUAUUUAGUUUUCAAUACUUGGUAACAUACUUAGAUUUUAGGGUUUCGUUACAAAAAAGGCUUUUUUUUUUUUUUUUUUUCUUCACCGGAUGUAGUGGAUGGGGCAAACCCUUAAUAGCCGCAUGCAAUGCAUGCGGAAUAGCAUGUUUCCAAAAUUAAAAAAAAAAAAAAAUCUCUUCUCCAUCAAAAAAAAAAGAAAAAAAAAAGAAAAAAAUGUUUUUUUUGGUCGCCGCAAUUUCCUUCAAUCAUCACAACUCCUCAUUCAACACCACUUCCCGGACUUUUUCUAUUUUCUGCAUUAUUUACAGAAAUUCGCCUCCAAUGGCACUCCCCUUCGCCUUCAUUUCUCUCUUUCUUUUCCUGGCCUUUGUUUUAAGUCUCAUCAAGGGAUUGAAGGGAUCAAAAACAGCCCAGAAACUACCACCAUCUCCAUGGAAGCUACCUUUGAUUGGACAUAUGCAUCAUCUGGUAGGUUCCCCAUCGCAUCAAGGUCUCAGGGACUUAGCUCGGAAGCAUGGAGCUUUGAUGCACCUUCAGAUGGGUGAAAUUCCUUCAAUUGUUGUAUCAUCUCCACGUUUAGCCGAGGAGAUUAUGAAAACACACGAUCUUUCCUUUGCCGAUCGGGCGGAGUUUCUUUCAGGUGAAAUCAUAAGCUAUAACUUUACUGAUAUUGCCAGCUGCCAAUAUGGUGAUUACUGGAGACAAAUGCGUAAGAUAUGCACCCUGGAACUUCUAAGUGUUAAGCGUGUCCGAUCAUAUGGCUCCAUCCGGCAAGAAGAGGCUUCUGUUCUUGUUGCAUCGAUUAAGGCUCUGGCUAGUGCUGGAGAGCUAAUCAAUGUUACGGAAAAACUAACCUCAUAUACAAGUUCUACUGUUUGCAGAGCAGCAUUUGGGAGAGUAAGCAAAG